UGAAGAUUCGAAAUGUCAGUGCCACACU
rnacentral:piRNA from 1 species